rnacentral:rRNA from 1 species
UAGCGGAAAGUAGCUUGCUACUUUGCCGGCGAGCGGCGGACGGGUGAGUAAUGUCUGGGGAUCUGCCUGAUGGAGGGGGAUAACUACUGGAAACGGUAGCUAAUACCGCAUAACCUCGCAAGAGCAAAGUGGGGGACCUUCGGGCCUCACGCCAUCGGAUGAACCCAGAUGGGAUUAGCUAGUAGGUGGGGUAAUGGCUCACCUAGGCGACGAUCCCUAGCUGGUCUGAGAGGAUGACCAGCCACACUGGAACUGAGACACGGUCCAGACUCCUACGGGAGGCAGCAGUGGGGAAUAUUGCACAAUGGGCGCAAGCCUGAUGCAGCCAUGCCGCGUGUGUGAAGAAGGCCUUCGGGUGUAAAGCACCUAAUAAAAAAACCCAAC